UACGAAGGGGGCUAGCGUUGCUCGGAAUGACUGGGCGUAAAGGGCGCGUAGGCGGCUCAUACAGUCAGAUGUGAAAUUCCUGGGCUUAACCUGGGGGGCUGCAUUUGAUACGUGUGGGCUUGAGUGGGGAAGAGGGUCGUGGAAAUUCCCAGUGUAGAGGUGAAAUUCGUAGAUAUUGGGAAGAACACCGGUGGCGAAGGCGGCGACCUGGUCCUUGACUGACGCUGAGGCGCGAAAGCGUGGGGAGCAAACAGG
rnacentral:rRNA from 1 species